UGGCGGACGGGUGAGUAACGCGUGGGCAACCUGCCCUGUACAGGGGGACAACACUUAGAAAUAGGUGCUAAUACCGCAUAACGGGGGAGCCGCAUGGCACCCCCCUGAAAACUCCGGUGGUACAGGAUGGGCCCGCGUCUGAUUAGCUGGUUGGCAGGGUAACGGCCUACCAAGGCGACGAUCAGUAGCCGGCCUGAGAGGGCGGACGGCCACACUGGGACUGAGACACGGCCCAGACUCCUACGGGAGGCAGCAG
rnacentral:rRNA from 1 species